rnacentral:sRNA from 1 species
UGCGUCAGCGAUUAGGCAUGUUGCAGAACCAAAACUGCGAAAGUGACAAAGUACUUCAUAGAAGCACUUAGUUGCGUUAGGUGUGGCGAAAGCCUGCAAAGUACAUAGGGUAAAAAAAUUUGGGUAGAAGCCGAUGGAGACGCAACCUCUAUCGGCUUUCU